AAGCGCGGGCAAAGUGGAAAAUACAAGAGAUGCAAGGAGGGAUUAAAAGCCGUAAAGGGAAAUCAACAUAAGAAAAAAGGGUCGUGGUUCUUUGCUAGCUUUCUUGCCUGGCUACCAAGUACUAAUAGCAUUCAUUCAUUGUAGGCCAUGAGCUUCGCAGCGGGGACGGACGUUCCGUCCACUCAAUUCUGAUACGGAUUCCGCUGGGAUGAGGAUAUGUUAUUUAUGAAACAUACCAGAGGCAUGCGGGUGUUACUUGUAAGUACCCAAUGGUAUGAUUUAGAGUGAUCUGAUUGUGUGUGUGUGGAAUUACCCCACAGAGCAUAUAUAUGUCACUAGAACAAUUACAAAAGAAAGGAAGAAAAUAACCAGAGCAGUCUAUUCAAUGGGGAACUAGCGGUCAAUAAAUUCCUAAAGGAGAACGAGAAACAACACGGAGUAGAGUAGCUCAGUCAGUAUCUCGGCCCGCGACCCAGGUAACAGAGCUCUGGCGCUCUAGUCAUACAGUUCUUUCGGCGUUGUAUGAUCCCGCUUCAGGCUAUUGGGGGCCGUGACCUUAAUCCCGCUCUCAAUCCGCGACAACGUCAUAUCAUACCCCUUAUAGUCGCACCAGGACUUGGCCAUCUUCGCCGCAUUCUUAAUCUCUCUGCCAUUCAGCUGCCACAUAGCUAGCUCCUUCAGAUCCUCAUCCGUGAUUUCUUUCAUCACACUCCUUACUUCUUGCUCCCCAUCUGCCUCCUCGCCAGGGCGCGGCGCCAUGGGCGGCAUUCUUUCCAGGAACUUCCGCCAUACGGUCUCGCGCGUCUCUGGAGUGAGGGGGCUGAAUAGAAGGUGCAGAUUGAGGCGCGAUCGGAAGGCAGUGUCGAUGGUCUCGUAUAGAUUGGUUGUCAGGAAGAUGAUGCCUCGGUAGUAUUCUAGUUCACGCAGGAAGAUCGAGACAAGUUCGUUGCGCGCGAUGUCGUUGGGAUGGCGCUCGGACAUGAAGACAUCGGCUUCGUCGAGCAGGAUUACCGCGUCCCAUUCGAUUGCCAUUUCAAAGACUCUCUUAAUCUUCGGGCCAAGUUCGCUGGCUAGGAUUCCCAGAUCCUCCGCUUGGAGGUAGAAGAGUGGCCGGCGGCAUCUGUCGGCCACUGAUUGCACGCCAAAAAAUGGCUCAGUUAGCGGCCUUCAUGCUCUUAUCGUGUUGGAGAAGGAGUAUCAUUUACUCACCCGCUUCCGCAGUCAGUGUUUUCCCGGUGCCAGGAGGCCCGCUCAAGAGGAUAUUCAGUCCCUGGCCUAGGGAAGUAGACAGUUAAGUUAGUAAUCGCAGUUUCAUCUUCCAAAUGCAUGAGCUUCAACUAACCUUUCCCUGCGAUGACGUCAUCAUCCCGGCGUUGUGUCCCAUGGUGAUUCUCAACAAAGGAUAGAACUAGAUCUUUCUGUUGCUUGUCGUACACUAGAUCUGAUGUUACGCAACAGCACUUUCUUAUAACUAGAUCAGACAACCAUACACCACUCUUUGUUUCUCAGCGCAUAUCCGUGAACUAUAUGUUGUAGGAGAGCCAUGUCAUCGCCAAUUUCGAGCAUUUCCUCCUUGUUCUUGCGUUGUUCCUCCUCCGAAAGAUAAAUUUUUGUAGACGGCGAGCCAUUCUCGAGGAGCGUGCUUCGGCUGGAGGCGGGAUCAUUGGGAUCCGCAUCCUCCACGGGCUUCAGAACUCGUUUGAGUACUAAUUUCUUAUGAUAUUCGGGGUCUUUCAUUUCCUUCAUUGGUUGUUUCAAUUGAUAUUUGUAAUAUCCUCUCGCGUCGAUAAGGAUUCUGCCAUCAACAUUGUGCCUUUUCCCCUCAGAAUCAAUUGCAAUAUCCGUGUAGGUCUUAUAUUGAAGCCCCUGUAGUUCAAGAACAUUCGUAGCCCUAGCCUUCAACCUCGCAAUGACGGCAGCUGGAUUUUCGUGGAACCGCAACGGGUAAUGAGGAAGCUGUGUGAUGGGCAAAUUUCCGGCGAACAUUGGAAUUUUCAACGCCAUUUCCUUCCAGAUAAAGUUCUCGCCAUCGAAAAUAAUGAUCUUGCACCUGAUGGAAAGGUGUUGCCUAAGCGCUUCUGUUUCGUAUGUGGCGUCCAAAACCUUUGUCAGAACUUCUCGAUUGUUUUCCCAACUGUACACGUAG
rnacentral:sRNA from 2 species